GACGAACGCUGGCGGCGUGCUUAACACAUGCAAGUCGAACGGAAAGGCCCUGCUUUUGUGGGGUGCUCGAGUGGCGAACGGGUGAGUAACACGUGAGUAACCUGCCCUUGACUUUGGGAUAACUUCAGGAAACUGGGGCUAAUACCGGAUAGGAGCUCCUGCUGCAUGGUGGGGGUUGGAAAGUUUCGGCGGUUGGGGAUGGACUCGCGGCUUAUCAGCUUGUUGGUGGGGUAGUGGCUUACCAAGGCUUUGACGGGUAGCCGGCCUGAGAGGGUGACCGGCCACAUUGGGCCUGAGAUACGGCCCAGACUCCUACGGGAGGCAGCAGUGGGGAAUAUUGCACAAUGGGCGGAAGCCUGAUGCAGCAACGCCGCGUGCGGGAUGACGGCCUUCGGGUUGUAAACCGCUUUCGCCUGUGACGAAGCGUGAGUGACGGUGAUGGGUAAAGAAGCACCGGCUAACUACGUG
rnacentral:rRNA from 1 species